UUGAGCCGUGUCAAUAUC
rnacentral:siRNA from 1 species